rnacentral:rRNA from 1 species
UACGGAGGGUGCAAGCGUUGCUCGGAAUUAUUGGGCGUAAAGGGUAGGUAGGUGGUCUCAUUUGUCUGGGGUGAAAGCCUUGAGCUUAACUCAAGAAGUGCCCCAGAAACGGUGAGACUGGAGUCCUGGAGAGGGUCGUGGAAUUCCCGGUGUAGCGGUGAAAUGCGUAGAGAUCGGGAGGAACGCCAGAGGCGAAAGCGGCGACCUGGACAGGAACUGACACUCAACUACGAAAGCGUGGGGAGCAAACAGG